rnacentral:lncRNA from 1 species
AUGAAGGAACCAAGAAUCGGUGACUGUGCCGUGGUGAUGAUGAUGAUGAUGACGAGGAGGAGGAUGGCGAUGAUGAUUAGAGACGGAAAACACGAUCCGGACGGUCCUGUGAGCCUGCAGGAGCCUCGACGUCUCCCCCGCUGCUCUCACAGCCGUCCGGAGCUGAAAUGUGGGAAUGAGGGAGAGCGGAGCACUUGUUCGCCCUCCCGUCGACUUCACAUGGACCGAUGUUCUUCAGACUCUGCAGCCGGAGGGAAUCCUGAUCACAUCACCUGCAUCAUGGCUCAGAAAAACACAUCUGGAGCGAAUCCCAUCCCCAGACUGGUUGUCAAGAUCGUAGGCAGCAAACAGGUCAAGCAGUUUAUCGAGGAGCCCCGAGAAGAAUCUGGAGACGUGUCAAAGAAAGAAGAGAGUCAUCCAGUUGAAGCUGCAUAUGAUGGUGAUUUCAAGAAACCUCCAGAAAAACAGGAUGUGAUGGUGUCCAGCUCUGACAGGAAGGUGGAGAACAGAGUGGACUCUGCACUUUGGGCUGUCAUACAGCAGGUUCCUGACAGACGGUGUGUGACAGCGCCCUCUGGUGAUCGCUCCAGGUCCUACAUCCACCCAAAGACUCGUCACAGCUGUGAACUGAGAGCAGCUGCAGUUCUGGAGAUAUCAGAGGAGGUUCUUCUGUGA